GAUGUGCACCACCGCGUGGGUCCCCCUUUGGCUUGUUCGGAGGGGGGCUUACGUUUUCACACAAACUUUGUAUGCAGUGUAGAAUGUAUUUUUUGUUUUUGCGAUCACGCAAUCAAUACAACUUUCAACAACGGAUCUCUUGGCUCUCGCAUCGAUGAAGAACGCAGCGAAAUGCGAUACGUAAUGUGAAUUGCAGAAUUCAGUGAAUCAUCGAAUCUUUGAACGCACCUUGCGCCCCUUGGCAUUCCGAGGGGCACACCCGUUUGAGUGUCGUGAAAUUCUCAAAAACCUUUUUCUUUUUGGGAAAGGGUUUUUGGACUUGGAGGCUUUUUGCUGGCUUCACCUUGAAGUGAGCUCCUCCUAAAUGAAUCAGUGGGGUCCGCUUUGCCGAUCCUUGACGUGAUAAGAUGUUUCUGCGUCUUUGGGUUUGGCACUGUCACCUGCUUCUAACUGUCUCAUUGACAAUGAUGGUGCUCCGGUCACCACCGCUCUUAUCGGUGGGAGGCUUGACCCACAAAAACAAAACCUUGACCUCAAAUCGGGUGAGACUACCCGCUGAACUUAAGCAUU
rnacentral:misc_RNA from 1 species